rnacentral:tRNA from 1 species
GUUUUAAUAAUUUAAUAUAAAAUAUUGGUCUUGUAAACCAAAAAUAAGUAGCAUUUUAAAACU